rnacentral:rRNA from 1 species
AAGGGCGAUGAUGCAUAGCCCGAGUUGAGAGACUGAUCGGCCACAUUGGGGACUGAGACACGGCCCAAACUCCUACGGGAGGCAGCAGUAGGGAAUCUUCCACAAUGGACGCAAGUCUGAUGGAGCAAAUGCCGCGUGAGUGAAGAAGGUUUCGGUAGUCGUAAAAAGCUCUGUUGUUGGUGAAGAAGGAUAGAGGUAGUAACUGGCCCUUUAUUUGACGGUAAAUCAACCCAGAAAGUCACGGGCUAACUACGUGCCCAGCAGCCGCGGUAAAU